rnacentral:rRNA from 1 species
UACGAAGGGGGCUAGCGUUGUUCGGAAUUACUGGGCGUAAAGGGCGCGUAGGCGGCUUACCAAGUCAGGCGUGAAAUUCCCGGGCUCAACCUGGGGGCUGCGCUUGAUACUGGUGAGCUUGAAUGCGGGAGAGGAUAGUGGAAUUCCCAGUGUAGAGGUGAAAUUCGUAGAUAUUGGGAAGAACACCGGUGGCGAAGGCGGCUAUCUGGCCCGUAAUUGACGCUGAGGCGCGAAAGCGUGGGGAGCAAACAGG